AUUGAACGCUGGCGGCAUGCCUUACACAUGCAAGUCGAACGGCAGCACGGACUUCGGUCUGGUGGCGAGUGGCGAACGGGUGAGUAAUGUAUCGGAACGUACCUUUCAGUGGGGGAUAACGUAGCGAAAGUUACGCUAAUACCGCAUAUUCUGUGAGCAGGAAAGCAGGGGAUCGCAAGACCUUGCGCUGAUUGAGCGGCCGAUAUCAGAUUAGCUAGUUGGUGGGGUAAAGGCCUACCAAGGCUACGAUCUGUAGCGGGUCUGAGAGGAUGAUCCGCCACACUGGAACUGAGACACGGUCCAGACUCCUACGGGAGGCAGCAGUGGGGAAUUUUGGACAAUGGGGGCAACCCUGAUCCAGCCAUGCCGCGUGAGUGAAGAAGGCCUUCGGGUUGUAAAGCUCUUUCGGCCGGGAAGAAAUCGCAUCAGCUAAUACCUGGUGUGGAUGACGGUACCGGAAUAAGAAGCACCGGCUAACUACGUGCCAGCAGCCGCGGUAAUACGUAGGGUGCGAGCGUUAAUCGGAAUUACUGGGCGUAAAGCGUGCGCAGGCGGUUGUGUAAGACGGGCGUGAAAUCCCCGGGCUCAACCUGGGAACUGCGCUUGUGACUGCACAGCUAGAGUACGGCAGAGGGGGGGUGGAAUUCCACGUGUAGCAGUGAAAUGCGUAGAGAUGUGGAGGAACACCGAUGGCGAAGGCAGCCCCCUGGGCCGAUACUGACGCUCAUGCACGAAAGCGUGGGUAGCAAACAGGAUUAGAUACCCUGGUAGUCCACGCCCUAAACGAUGUCAACUAGGUGUUGGGUGGGUAAAACCAUUUAGUACCGUAGCUAACGCGUGAAGUUGACCGCCUGGGGAGUACGGCCGCAAGGUUAAAACUCAAAGGAAUUGACGGGGACCCGCACAAGCGGUGGAUGAUGUGGAUUAAUUCGAUGCAACGCGAAAAACCUUACCUACCCUUGACAUGUCCAGAAGCCCGGAGAGAUUUGGGUGUGCCCGAAAGGGAACUGGAACACAGGUGCUGCAUGGCUGUCGUCAGCUCGUGUCGUGAGAUGUUGGGUUAAGUCCCGCAACGAGCGCAACCCUUGUCGUUAAUUGCCAUCAUUUAGUUGGGCACUUUAACGAGACUGCCGGUGACAAACCGGAGGAAGGUGGGGAUGACGUCAAGUCCUCAUGGCCCUUAUGGGUAGGGCUUCACACGUCAUACAAUGGUCGGUACAGAGGGUUGCCAAGCCGCGAGGUGGAGCCAAUCCCAGAAAGCCGAUCGUAGUCCGGAUUGCAGGCUGCAACUCGCCUGCAUGAAGUCGGAAUCGCUAGUAAUCGCGGAUCAGCAUGUCGCGGUGAAUACGUUCCCGGGUCU
rnacentral:rRNA from 1 species